ensembl:lncRNA
AGGGUUCUGGAUUGAACAAGUUAUGCAAAACUUUUGGCCAGAGUGAGUAUCACAGCAACUUCAAGCCACCACCAGAAUUGUAAAUAAACAGAAUGGGAGGGCAGGAAAAACUCAACUGCAGAGAAAAGAAAUGGAACAGAUGCUAAGAAACAGGAGACGCUGCUGGAUCAGAAAGAUACGAGGCUAACGCUACUGUUUCAAGUUGUCUUCGUUCCCACCCUGGACACUCAUCACCUGUGAAUGAUGAGCAGGGACCUUCUUCCUCAGAUUUGUGCACGCUGGAUCUUCUGAAGCAAAGGCUCGUCAAGAAGGAAAAGGAGCUUUCUCGUGCCUCGUUGCCACCACCUACUGAGAGAAAUACCGUGGCUUGUUCAGCCAGACUCUCCCUGGAAGUUUGUGCUCUGUGAAAAGGUUUGCACGCAGAGGCCAACUUCAGUGUGUACACUACAGCCAAACCGGGUGUGCUCGGAGCUCCUCCUGAAUUAAAGUCCACCGACUGUCUUCCAACCAGAUUUGAGGCAUAAUACCCUCAAGUUCUAGCCAUGUCAUCACAAGUGGCUGGAUUUCAUCAUUUCUUAUGGCUGAGUAGUAUUCUACUUGUUUAUAUACCACAUCUUCUUUACCCAUUCAUCCCUUGAUGGGCACCUAGGUUGCUUCCAUGACUUGCUUCAUCUUUUGAAAGUGAGUAAAUGGACAGUCCACAGCUCUGUCACUUGCCCUUCCCCUUCUGGCAUUUCUUGUUACCUAGGAGCCUGUCAUACUACCCACUGCCCUGCUCCCAUCCCCACUCUCUCCGCCACCACAGCCACACCUUGCUUCAUGCCCUCAUUAUUUUUUGUCUAAAUUAUCGCUUUUUCCAGACUGGUUCACUUGCUUCUGCUUUCACCCUCCUCUCGUCUGCCCUCCUAAUUGCCCUCAGAGUGAUGGGUGUGAGUAAAU